rnacentral:rRNA from 1 species
UACGGAGGGAGCUAGCGUUGUUCGGAAUUACCGGGCGUAAAGCGCACGUAGGCGGCUUUCCAAGUCAGGGGUGAAAUCCCGGGGCUCAACCUCGGAACUGCCCUUGAAACUGGAAGGCUAGAAUCCUGGAGAGGCGAGUGGAAUUCCGAGUGUAGAGGUGAAAUUCGUAGAUAUCAGGAGGAACACCCGAGGCGAAGGCGGCUCUCUGGGUCGUACCUGACGCUGAGGCGCGAAAGCGUGGGGAGCGAACGGGAUUAGAAACCCGUGUC